rnacentral:rRNA from 1 species
GUGGGGAAUAUUGGACAAUGGGCGAAAGCCUGAUCCAGCCAUGCCGCGUGUGUGAAGAAGGUCUUCGGAUUGUAAAGCACUUUAAGUUGGGAGGAAGGGCAUUAACCUAAUACGUUAGUGUUUUGACGUUACCGACAGAAUAAGCACCGGCUAACUUCGUGCCAGCAGCCGCGGUAAUACGAAGGGUGCAAGCGUUAAUCGGAAUUACUGGGCGUAAAGCGCGCGUAGGUGGUUCGUUAAGUUGGAUGUGAAAGCCCCGGGCUCAACCUGGGAACUGCAUCCAAAACUGGCGAGCUAGAGUACGGUAGAGGGUGGUGGAAUUUCCUGUGUAGCGGUGAAAUGCGUAGAUAUAGGAAGGAACACCAGUGGCGAAGGCGACCACCUGGACUGAUACUGACACUGAGGUGCGAAAGCGUGGGGAGCAAACAGGAUUAGAAACCCCAGUAGUCC